rnacentral:lncRNA from 1 species
GAAACGGUCAACUUUCUUGAAAGGACAACAAAAGAAAAGAAGAAAUGUUAGCAAACAUCCAACGUAUCAUUAAGCUAAAAUUGUCCCCUCUUCUCUUCUUUUUCCUCCAUUUAAUUGAUUAAUGGCCCACUUAAUCAAUGCCUUUGCUUCUUUACAGCGAAUCCAAUUCCUAUUGAUAAACAAAGCCGUCCGUUACAAAGCACAGAAUAACCUUAUACCGGCAUAUAUAUAGAUAUAAUAUUCCCUUUAUGCUCUUCAUUGAUUAUAUUGUUCUUCUUCUCUUCUCGAUCUCUGGUUCCUUCUUUUAUCUCCACACAGACAGAUAAAGCAACAAAAUUAGCGGUGAUGUCGUCGAAUCAGAACAGCUGCGGAGUCACAACGUGCGAGAAGCUGGAUCGGAUGGCUAAUUGGGUUGGGACCAGCGUAGCUUCGGCCUUCUUCGCCUCACUUGAACGAUGCGCCUGCAUCAAUCUCACCACCUCGCACGAUGAAUAUGAUGAUGAAGAAGAGGCCAAAGAUAGGCCUCUCAUGCUCACCAAACCCAUCUCUUUUAAUGAAAACUCCUCCCACCGCCGCGCCGUUUAACCAACGCAAAGAGAUAUUUUGAAUUAUCUUUUCCGAUUGUUUUGGAUUAAUGUCUAUGUUUUUAGAAAUAUCAGUUGAAAAGUGGCUUUUUUUGCUUGUAAUUAUUGAUCAAGUUCUGGUAUUUUCUUCAUUUAAUAUGAUGUAGAUUUUUUAUUUUUUUUUGACUGAAUUUUGUGAAAAAUGAAAUUUUUGA